rnacentral:rRNA from 1 species
UACGUAGGGGGGCAAGCGUUGUCCGGAUUUAUUGGGCGUAAAGAGCGUGUAGGCGGCCAGAUAGGUCUGUUGUGAAAACUCGAGGCUCAACCUCGAGACGCCGAUGGAAACCAUCUGGCUAGAGUCCGGAAGAGGAGAGUGGAAUUCCUGGUGUAGCGGUGAAAUGCGCAGAUAUCAGGAAGAACACCCGUGGCUAAGGCGGCUCUCUAGUACGGUACUGACGCUGAGACGCGAAAGCGUGGGGAGCGAACAGG